AGAGUUUGAUCCUGGCUCAGAUUGAACGCUGGCGGCAUGCCUUACACAUGCAAGUCGAACGGUAACGCGGGGCAACCUGGCGACGAGUGGCGAACGGGUGAGUAAAGCAUCGGAACGUGCCCAGUAGUGGGGGAUAGCCCGGCGAAAGCCGGAUUAAUACCGCAUACGACCUAAGGGUGAAAGGGGGGGAUCGCAAGACCUCUCGCUAUUGGAGCGGCCGAUGUCAGAUUAGCUAGUUGGUGGGGUAAAAGCUCACCAAGGCGACGAUCUGUAGCUGGUCUGAGAGGACGACCAGCCACACUGGGACUGAGACACGGCCCAGACUCCUACGGGAGGCAGCAGUGGGGAAUUUUGGACAAUGGACGAAAGUCUGAUCCAGCCAUGCCGCGUGCGGGAAGAAGGCCUUCGGGUUGUAAACCGCUUUUGUCAGGGAAGAAAUCCUUUGAGCUAAUACCUCGGGGGGAUGACGGUACCUGAAGAAUAAGCACCGGCUAACUACGUGCCAGCAGCCGCGGUAAUACGUAGGGUGCAAGCGUUAAUCGGAAUUACUGGGCGUAAAGCGUGCGCAGGCGGUUAUGUAAGACAGAGGUGAAAUCCCCGGGCUCAACCUGGGAACUGCCUUUGUGACUGCAUAGCUUGAGUGCGGCAGAGGGGGAUGGAAUUCCGCGUGUAGCAGUGAAAUGCGUAGAUAUGCGGAGGA
rnacentral:rRNA from 1 species